rnacentral:rRNA from 1 species
GCUUUACUGUAACUUGAGAUUGAAAUUGGACUUUAUUUGCGCAGUAUAGGUGGGAGACGUUGAAAGUAUUCUUGCGGGAAUACUGGAGUCAUCAGUGAGAUACCACUCUUGUAAUGUUAGAUUUCUAACUUUGUAUCAUUAUCUGGUCAAAGGACAGUCUCAGGCGGGCAGUUUGACUGGGGCGGUCGCCUCCUAAACGGUAACGGAGGCGCACAAAGGUUUCCUCUGAACGUGUAGAAAUCGUAUCUAGAGUGUAAAGGCAUAAGGAAGCUUGACUGUGAGACCUACAAGUCGAGCAGGGACGAAAGUCGGUCUUAGUGAUCUGACGGUGCUG